CGAAGCUUCUUGCUAGUUGAGCCGUUCGCCAGACUGAUACAACGGCGAUCGGUCGAUACCCGUCUCGAAUACUCGACACCAAUAAAGCAAAUGAAAGUUAAUACAGUCACAUGCUACAUAGCGUUUAUUUGUGUGUAGCCAUAUGAAGAGGAAACCGCCAAUCCCAUAAAUGUAUACCGGGUUCUCCGUUUUGGCCCGAGGGACCAGAAACGCGGACCAACUAUAAUAGCUGGGAAAAAUCGCCAGCGAAAUUCGACCCAUGCUCGAGGUCAUACAGGUCAGAACCGCCGCCACGUGUUCCUGUUUGAAACUGCGACUCCGCUUUGGACUACAAGCGACGAAAAAAAUACUGAACAAGCUGAGGGAAGAGGAACUGAAUGUAAGGAUUGUGACGACCUCUUCUUUCGACUGACGCAAAACCGGUUCAGAUACUGUUUGUUGCCGUAACCUGUUUUGCCCGACAGCUAAAAGAGGCGACAUAACUGAAGAGACGCUUGCGUGAACCUGUAUAUUGUCAUUGUCGUUUCAUGACAGCUUCGUUCUAGAAGCAAUUGAUCGGUUGCAGUGAGUUAAUAGCCGGUAUGGGAUCGAAGUAGGUUAUUCUUAUUUCUAACUAAAUUACGCCAUUAUCCUUGAUGGAGCAUCCGUUUUUUUGUCUCCCACCUAAAUAACAUGGUAUUUAAUGCUUGUAGUCCGUUCCCGGUUCCGUUCCAGCGUAUACCGACGUGCGACACGUACGGCAGUGCGGGGCACAAACGUUCCUGCUGAAUAGGAACUAACAUCGCCGAUGUCUUUGUCUCUCAGCAAUUGUCAACGCUCGACAUCAUUAUGGAUGCGGUGCUAUUCUUCAUCGUUAUAUCACAGCUGCAGUCGUUGCUCCUCAUUUUUCAACACAGAUCGCCAUCGUAACCUGUCGCGUUCACGAACCAACGCUACGCGUCGAACUCGCCGUACAAAGCUAUGCUCUAAUUGAACAAGCUGUGCCACAGCUUCCCGUGGCGUGCCGUUAUGCAGAGUCGACAGAAAAGGCGACUGUUCAGUAACACCGUAAAUUUAUACACAAAUGAUUCAUUAUGUUUUUAGCGUUGCUCGUUUCGAUCGUGACUCCCGUCUGAUCUCCGACUACUCUGACUAGCAAAGCCAGUGACUAAUUGACGAUGUCCUAAGGCUGUCGAUGGCCUGGCUACCUAGGUGUCAGUUCAUCGUGGAUGACCCAGUCGUGUUGUUGAGCCGCUACAUUACCCCCGAUUGAAAUUUCUGCUGUUAUCCAUGAUCGCAGCUACUGUCAUCACUGCUGCUGCUGUCACUGCAUGCACCGACUGGAGUUAACAUCUGUUAUGCGGUGUGAUUUACCGCUGUUGUGAAAGCUCAGAACGAUUUUUUUAAAUUCAAGCCCCUGCUUUGGCAAGUGGGUUCCGCCGUAGUCGCUUUCAUCAGCGACUAUUCUACUUUAUCACCCCAUUCUGACUGCUCCCACAAAUAAGUAUAAUGGAUAAAACAAACCGCACGAAGUUUGCCGUGAGCUACACGUGGCUUCAGAGUGGGUCCUUACUUUGUUUCAGCCGUGUGGCCAUAUACUGGCCAUACGAAAUCAGUCGCGCCAGCGGAAUAAACAAGACGCGAUUAUCACCACAUGUUUCCGCGGCCAGAGGUAGCACAGCCCUACAGUGAUGUCAGUCGCGAAGUCCCGAGUGUUUUUCUUUUUGCAAAAUUUUUACGCUCUAUUCGCAAAAAUUGACGCGUUUUUCUGUAAGCGGUUAUUAGAAGAAAUUAACUAUAUAUAUAUAUACAACAAUAUGCGAAUAUGUGCUACAGAUUAACAGUAUUACGAAUUAUAUAAUAGUACUAAGGAUGACGUGUACAUUGCUUCAUUCAUGUCUCUACAACAACGAGGAACAAUUUCGGGCCUUUCUGUAUAGUACUCGUCUCAACGCUCUCAGACAGUGUUAUUUAAAUGGGCUCCUUAAGCACAGAGUGCUAUUGAGCACUCGUACACGGGCAACAUAGUACCUUUGACAGCGACAGCGAGUUAUUUGAACGAUUCAAAUAUAUAACCUCAUAAUACUGGCUAGUAGCCGUUGGCUUUUAUGAUCUUUUACGUCGUUCAUCAUUUGUUUACCAUUCGGGAAGACUUUCUCUCCUUUAUAAUGAUCCGAUAUAAUCUCAUUGUGCAGUAAAUGGCCUUACAUGUCAGAUUCACAUGCCAAAGAUGAAGGUUUUACAUGUAAGAAAAAUACAUUGCAGAGAACACGCAAGCAGCACGAGAUAUUCACAUCACGUACGACGAGAACUUCAUGCCUAAGACGACCGCUCGAAACUGAUUUGCAGAGCCCAACUUGGAACUGGAAAAUGCAUCCCAUUCCGUUGGGCCAUCUGACCCAUAACUGACUGAGAACCAUUCACGGAAGGCCUCCUGGGAACAACACGAAUUUACCAGGUUUACUCAAAAAUCAUGAACCUUCCCAUAAACUGAAUGAAGAGGGCAAAGAAGCACGGCCUCCCAUAGCCUCUCACACGCAGUUUCAGUGGCAGAUUUUUACACAAAAUUGCCAUCGGUGAUAAUAGCUAUUAUCUUUGCGUUCAUAAUAGGAGCGACGAAAGUGAGUAGAUCCAGGAGAUAUGUCUGAACUAAGAAAUCAAUGAGAUAAUUAUGCCAAAAUAACCCAAAAACACAAGAUCUAAAAAUUUCGAACAAAACUCUUUGCGAGGUCUCAGCGAGGAAAUAGGUGAUAAAUUAAUUCAUUCCUAGGCUUCGAAAGAAGCCUUAAUUUCUCUUGUAUUCGCCUAUAUUCUAGGCCAAUAUUGAGGAUCAUUUGCCCGGGAACGUAAGAACAAUGUCCGGCUUCCUACGGAAUAGAAGCAUGCGUUCGAAUUUACGUUGCUAUCUGUAUCGCAACGUCAGAAUCCGCAUUUCAAUUGUGACGUCGCUGAGGAGUUGCGUAAACGUCACUGUCUAUAAAUCUCAUCAUGGCUUACGUCAUGCAACAAAUCGCUCCUUUCGGAGUAAAACUGUAAAGUAGCUACUGUUUACUUUCUGAGGUUAUCGCAUUGUAUUCCUUGUCACACAAUUUCAUCUGUAAUCCCACGUGCAGAUAUUGACGUUAAUACGGCAAAUGCUUUUGAACUCUACCCUUUUGUAUAGUUCUUAAGCACUGAAUAAGUAAUUGUGAAGGCGCAUAUUAACGCAGGUAGCCCUAGCACAUUUCCCAUCCGUCUUUGAAGGCUUCCUGCGAAAUCAGGCACGCUGUACCACCCGUUGAAAGGCUUAAAGGCUGAGGUAAAAGUACUCAUCCAGAUAGAUGGUUCAAGCGAACAAAGGGUAUUUCUGCUAAUAUAACCAUUUAAAACACUACACAAAGUAGGAAAAGCUUGAACUUAGUAACUAUGGUACAUAUAUACCAUACGGCCAUUACAAAUGGUGUUAUCAAAGCAAACGUUGCUUUAAUCUAAACGACGAUUAUUUACAUUAUGUAGGGAAAAGCCUAUGCCGUCUAAAAUGAAAGCGUAACUUUAUACGUGGGUCUGUGUGCCACUAGUGGGCUGUUCUGCAAGUUAUAUGGCCAGAUUAAAUUAUACAACAGUGAUUAUAAAAUGUCAUACACAGCUACCUAUCGACACGAACAACGUCUUACCUUGGAACGAUGUAUAGAGAACGCAUAGAAAAAUAUAGUCCACCUAUAAGCCUAGUGUCAUUUAAAUGGCCAAUGAAGUAAGGUUUGCUGGCCUUUCUUUUUCUUAUCGUUGAAUAUAUUGUGGCACGGUUACAGUGAUCUGCCUCCGAGCAUCGUCUUGCAACCAGUUUCUAUCAGCGAGAACCAAGAGAUGCAAGGCACGUACAAUGCGUUCUGACAAUUCUGUUUUUCAGCCUCGCUGCUACCUCUACUGGUUCUACGGGAAAACCUAGCAUACCGCUAUCCCUUUGAUCAGGUAUUCAUCGGGUUAGGCGGGCAGAGUUCUCCAAGCUAGCCAGUUGCUAGGGUAUAUUGGCUUCGUCUAUCUAAAAGGGUUUCUGUGCUCGCAUAUCGUGCGGAUCUUUCUAUUUGAGGUUGUAUCUCCGUAGGGCAUCGUACGAAAACGUGGCAGUAACGGCAUUGUAUUGAAGCGCAAACGCACGAUGCUUAACAAAGAGUGCUAAAUGUGUAACGGUGAUGAUAACUGCUGUGCCUGGAAGUACUAAUCAUAACAGUCUUGUCUUCGGGUGUUGCACUUAUCGUUAUGCCACCUAGAGCCAAUUCUAGUUGGGCCGUCUCUUCGACUAAAUUUUCACCCUGCUGCCCAAGCAAAACUACUUCAAAGGAACGAAGUGAAAAGAAUAUUUCAACCGGAUACGUCCCGCCAGCACGACCCGCCCAAGGUAUAUACUGGGGCCUAGAAUUAGUCGCAAUAAUAGCCGCCACCGAUAAAGACACAAACAUCGUAUUCACAAUAUAGAAAGUAAAAUUAUACAGUAAAACCGUCUAUUACAGUGCUGGUUGACGUGUUCGGUCGCCUAGGUUCGGCCAGCCAGCCAGCCAGCCAGCCAGCCAGCCUGAUAGUGAUGUCCAUUAGAAUCGCUUUCGAGUUAAGGCAGGUUCACUGACCACAAUUAACGCCACAGUUGACCUAUGGGCUACGGCCUCGUGGACGCCAGCAAGUGGGUGAAAUGAUGGCAGAUUAGUCUGUUUGGUCUGCCGUAUUCGUCCGUGCCGUCUUCAGGGGGGUCACGAGGUUAGCGUGAGUUACAUGGCCUGGGCACAGCUUUUGUCGAGACGCCGCUUAGAGAAUGCGUACACCCUAACACUACACGCUUGGGAACCACGAAGAAACGUCGGCCGGUUCUGUAUCGUUGUUUAUAGAAUACGAAGCUGGCGAGUUCGGCCAAUGUUAGGCGAAUGAGUUCAACGCGGUGGUCGCAGGGUCAGUGUUUGCAAGAAAAAGGAUAUCAAAGGAGGCGUAACGUGAUGAGAUCUGGCUCGACUGGUCACCGCUAUUAGCUGACUGAGUUAACCUACCGACUAUCAAUUUCCAUUGGGCGAUUGAGGUGGUUACUGUUUUUUGGUAACACUUUAGGUCACAGCCUGACAGCUGGCGGCUCAACCUGACCUGUACAUUAAUCAUGUAAAGAAGUCAACCUGAAAGGAAAGUCGGUGUACUGAUAGAGCCGCUGUGAACCGCAACCGACUACCAUCUAUUUACCUAUACGUUUAUAAUGUAUGAAAAGUACGGCCGUUAUUACUGGUCAUAUGAUUGCGCCGCCCCGGGCCAAAACAAACGCGGUUCUAUGAGCAAAGUCAUUUAGCUAUAAUGAAAUUUUCCUGCGCUCACUGCGAUUGUAUAGAAUAUCCAUUUGUUUGACAUGGUGAGUGCGCUUCGUAGGGAGCGCCUGGAACCUAUUGGUCUCUCCCAUUUUACUGCAACGAGUUCUGGAACAGGAAAUUAACUAGCGCAUGACAACGUUCUCGGCGUGCGCUGUGGUGAACGUCCCAGUAGUUGCAGAAUAAUCUCGUGGGUCGGCGAUUCCAUACUAAGGUUCUUUGAUUCUAUUUAGAAACUUCGACGCCGACCCACUAAUGAGUCCAUUGUUUAGAAGAGCGCAUCGUUUUCAGUGAAGACAGAGUUUAUAGGUGAAGAACGCUUCACGAAUACGCUUCUCAGACACGUGAGCGUGACGGGCUCGUCAGCAAUUCGUGAAUAACUGAACGCCGCAUCAAGCUUGGCACGACCAGCAACUGUGACGCUUUUUAGCCGUUGUUGUCAGCAGUCUUUCCGCGCUUCUGUGGGAAAGCCUUUUCUUCUGUACGUGCACAUUGCAUACAUACCGACACUAUGACGUAUAAAAGCUACCUAACGUACCAAGAAAGAACCCGCCUCAUUGUAGUCGGCUUCGCCUAAACCUGCGCCCAAAUGCGACACGCUUCUUUCGGUUAUUGUUGUUGUGACCCUGUCUUCAGUAUCUACGUUCACUUGGUACAUGUAGGAAGGCGCAAAGAUUACAGCAAGUAUUACAGUGUAUGUGUCGUGCAGUCCGUUGGCUGUAGGCGCGGCUGACGCACAAGAGGCGCCCAUAUGCAGCAACCCUCAGAACAAGCAGGGGGAGCAACACCUAUUGGUAGAAGCUAUUAAUCCCAAGUCUGCGCCCACAUUCUCGGCCAACAGGAUCAGACCGGAGGAGACAGCAACGAUAUUCACAGAAUUGGACCUAGCUUGCUCCAACCGCUAUUCAGCGAACCCCGAAAUAACUUGCAACGAUAGACCAGCUUCCGUCCAGUUAAUACGCGCCACGUUAGCGGGCGGCAUCGUCUUUUGUGUGUACGCGCGUCACAAACCAAAAAAACCCUAUAUAUUUCCACACGUGAAAGGAACACUAAAACACAGCUGGAAACUGGCGUACUUUUUCUAUUGCACCAAAAGUAUCAUCACCAUCGUCGUCGUCGACAACAAAAAUAAAACUUCAUCAUUACACUAAUUAACGGUAGUAGCAGCGCCGCCAUCGGCCGCAGGGAGGCCAUGCUUGCCCGUAUGUUCGCGUUCUAGUUUCCAUUAAAAAAAAGGAAUACCUAAAAACGCGAGCACGGAAAUGGUGAUUAUGACUGCCGUAACAGCAAUUGCGGCGAGCGACGGAUGGAACAGCACGAGCCCGGUACCUCAAGACGCAUGGAAAAUGGAUCUUAACAGGUGGUUAUACUCCAUACAGAGCUGCUGAACGUAAUCAGCGUUCUUGCUGUUGUUAUUAUAACUGUUUGAAGCUGCAGGAGAAAAGCGUAAAAAGACAAAAUUUCCAUCCUCAAAAAAAAGAUCACGUUUAGUUUAAGGCGAGCAGUACACGGAGCUGUACAGAUGCACUUGAGGAGCUCGUGCGAAGGCAAUUACAGGGAGAUUAAAAUCUAGAUACCGUUUCAUUCGCCGUGGAAAAGUAAUGAAGACUAUAUGGGUUCCGUAUAACAUCAACCAUGAAUGUCUCCUGGAUUGAAAUGCUCUAAUAAAUUAUAACAACGGAGGAGGACCACCUGUAUGGAAACCUUCGAUUUGAAAUAUCGUUUCAACAGUCUAUACGAGGUAAUUCAAACUAUGGGAUAUGGCCUAUCAGUUCCUACAAAGUUAUUGAAAUCUAACUAGAAGAAAUUAAAAAUCUGUUAAUAACUCAAAUUUACGAUGGUACUUAUAAAGCUCAAUGGACUUCAAAAAAAUUGCUAUCAGUCAAUUAAAUGUCUUUAUUACCAUUUUGUUAAUUGUGCUGGGGAAACCGCGGCGUGAAGCAAAGUGGCCAUGACAACUUCGUUUCUAAUAUUAAUGUUUAAAAAUUGCCUAAUUUUUGUCAUGAAAAUAUGAAUACUGCUAAGCCUGAAGCAAGGUAAACCAGAUUAACUGGUCUAAAAGUAAAAACCUGUCUGCCGGAGACGUACGAUAUAUUUCAGUGGGUACGAAUUGACUCUUAAAGUGACGACUCGUUUUAAACAUCUACUGAUUGUAAGAACGACAAUUAGUAUGAUGACAACCGUGGCCUACGGUUCGAUGGGCAGUUAGAUUUUUCAUCUUGAGACAACCCAUCUGAUGGCGUAAAUAUUUAGCGAACGAAGCCUUCGAGGCGCAUACAUCUGGUUCUCCAAAUCGAUAGAGGCCUAACGGCGGGUGAUCUCAGCAACGGCAUUUGCAGCGGACGCAUCAUGGCCUGAACGACCAACUGAAUCCGCAGAAAGUUGA